AUUCUCAAGUGAGCCACAGGAAGAGUCCUGUUUUGAGGGCAAGGCUUUUCUUGAAAACUACACUCUCUAUGCAGCUCAUUCCUGAAGAAGGGCUUUGGCAUGUGGAGAUUAUGCCCUCUUGCUAGGGUACUGGAAGGGAUCCAUGUGGUAUUGUCCCAGCAAUAACUCUGCCACAGAGAUAUGCGAUCUCCAGCAGCUGUCGGCAGGCUUCACUCCCAUUCCAUCCUCCUUCCUGCAUCCAGUAGUCUCCCAGCCCCGCCUCACCCUCCCACUGCUCCAGAAGAAUGACAGAACUCAGAGCUGCAAGAGAAAGAAGACUGAAUUCAGUCUCUCUUGCAGAAAAAUUGUUUUCCGUCAAGUUGAUAAUAAUGAUCACACUGAGAAUGAAUGACUCAAGAUGAAUAUCCAAAGAUAUAUCAAAACCUGGUCAGCAGUCGUGGGGAAAGGAAGAAAGCCUGAGUUGAGUUUAUGAAAGUUUUCCACUAAAGUCAGCAACAGCUUAAAUUCAAACCAGGCACAAGACGCUUGAAUCUCCAUAUGAGUUGUUCAUCAAAGGGCUGAAAGAAAAGAAAUCUGAGCCCGAGCACGGUCUGGCCUAAAAGCUUUCAAGUGACUCCUUUCUGUUGCAAAUGAAAGAAGUCCUGCUACUCUAAAGAAUAACUAAACCAGACUGGAGUCACUGAAACUGAUGGAAGAACAUCUCAGGCAUGAGUGCCAUGGUGACGUCAUCAGCUCCGUUCACAACCACUCACCAUGAGGCCAUUGCUCCUGUGGAGGACACUGGCUUAGGACUCAUGAAGUAGUACCUCAGGAAGGUGUCUCUGUAAGUGUUCCUUCCACCAGCUCCAAGACACAAUGAGAUGGAGAGAACUGGAACAAUUCCCUAUGAUUGCAGCUGGAUAUUUUCACAUGAACUAUCUAGUAAUGAAGGCAAUGGCAUGUGGUGUGGCAAAGACUGGCCCCAGAUUACAUUUCCAGUCCUUUUGUACUGAGGAGGGGCUUUGGGACCAAGACAGUAGGAGUGAGGGUACAGGUUCCACAUUCUAUUUCUCUCUUAGUUUUCUGUGGUUAUCUUGGUGACUGCAUGGUAAAGAUGGAGGUGACAAAAGAUGGAAGGAGCCUGGAUCCCUGAAUGACUUCAUGGUGCAGAGCCUUACACUACCCCCAACUCAUACUAAAACAGGGGUGGGAGGAACAAUAGACCAUUAUUCUGUUAAGGUGCUGAAAUUGUAGAGCUGUUAAUUUGAACAGUUAGAGUUUCUUAUACUGAUACAGUAUCCUUACCCUGGAUUGUUGAAAUAAUUAGUCCAAAUAGUUUCUUUGCCUAAAACUGUGGACAGAGCCUAAGCAAUAUUGAAUCCAAGACAAGGUAUAUUUAUCAUCAAAUGCUACUCACUAUACAAUACAGAUGAAUGUGGCACUUACUUCCCGUGUUGUUACCCAGCCUGCUUCUAGUAUUCUUUACACAAAAUAACAUUCAUGAGCAACCUGG
rnacentral:lncRNA from 1 species